UUAUUUGGGGUGAGACAAGGGUUAUAUAGUUUUGGGAAAGGGGGUGAGGGUGUGGUCAAAGGUCAUUGAGUGAAGACUAAGGCACUGAGUUGCCUCAUUAGCAUGGGGAGGCAUUUCAGGAAUCCCAGGUGGAGGACUGCACCACAUUCCUCAGGUGGUGUCCCGGAUCCUCCAGAGAAGUGGAAGCCCGGAGGACAAAGGGAGUCCGAGCUCAGGGCUGUCCGUAAUGUCAAACUUCCACCUUGGCAGCAGGGUUUCCCUACACUGGUCCACCACUAAAGCUACAUUCCCAGCUCUUAAAAAAAACAAACGGAGGAGCUGGGCGUACGAAGCUCAGUUGUAGAGUGCUUGUACAUCCAUGAAGCCCUGGCUUAAUGCCCAGCAGUACAGAAAACCAAGUGUAGUGGUGCAAGCCUCCAUGAGUUUGAGGCCAGCCUGGGCUACAGAAGACCAUGUCUCAAAAGAAAUAUUUUUUUAUUUUUUAAAUUUGAGACUGGGUGUAGCUCAGGCUAGUCCUGAACUUUUCCACUGGGAUUACAGGUGUGCACCAGGCCUAAAUUGGUCUCCCCCCUUGCCUCCCUUCCUCCCUCCCUUCUUUUGUUUUCUCCCUGCCCCCUUCCUUCUCUUUCCUUCCUCCCCCCCACCCCCCUGACCCUUUUCCUUUUUUGUUGAGAAGGAGCCCUGCUAUGUGGUCUAAGUUGGUUUUAAACUCCUGAAAUCAAGUGAUCUUAAGAACUCCUUACUACAGGUGUACACCAUCAUAUGAACUAAUAAAAUCAGGCUUUAAAAAAUUAGUAAAGAGGGCCAACGGGAGCAAGUGGGGUUGACAGGAGUGGGCAGGACUGACCGGAUUGAGCAACCUUCAUUCCCAGCAACUACACGAUGGCUUACAACUAUCAGUACAGCUACAGUGUACCCAUAUACAUUUAACAAACAAACAGGCUAAGGGUUGUGGCUCGGUUGGAAGAGUGCCUGCCUAGCAUGCAUUAAACCCUAGGUUUGAUUCUGGGCACUGCGUAAACUGCGUGGUGGAUCAUGUCUUUAAUCUCACUUCUUAGGAGGUAGAGGCAGGAGGAUCAGAAACUGGGCGUCAUCCUUGAUUACACAGAUAGUUUGAGACCAGCCUAGCAUACAUGAAGCCCUGACUCGAGGAACAUAUAGAGCUACAUUUUAGAGUAGUGCUAGGGUCUUAGCAAACACAGCCUCCUCCACUCAGACUUUCUCCCUCCAGUGGUCCUUGUCAUACCGGAGCCAACAUCUACUCACUGUGACCUUGUUAGCAACUAAGUUGGGGAGGGUGGUACUUAGGGACAGGACACGGAAUUGUAUAUAUUCAGCCGCCCACCUCACCUACUGGUGACAUCCAUCUGGAUCCUAACAUCACCAAGGGACCUUUGACCCCUUCUCCUGUGGUCAUGUUUGGAUUGGGUGUUGGAGAGCAUCAUCGUGGUACCCUUUGUCCUCACCAGCUUUGCUGGAAUGGUUGCCAUGGUGACAGUGAUGCUAACAACUGCCUUGGUCCAGCUUUGCUGAAGGCCAAGUGAUAUCCCCCAUAAACCUUUUCUGAUUUACAGGUGGGAAAACUGAGGCCAGUGAAGUGCCUUCCCCAAGGACCCUCCCUUAUGUGAGGGGGCCCUGGAAUGAAUGGUGGGAGCAUCGUGAAGGUAUACCCACAGCUCACAAGCCGCAAGGCGGGGUCAGGCCUAGGACUCUAGUUCUAUUCUUAUUGCUCACUGAGUCCUUUUGUCAAACUUGCUUCACUCUCCCUGGCUCCCAGUCUGCCUGGAGCUGCUGGUCUGGAGCCCACCAGAGGCUGUGGAGGUGGAGCAGAUGGUGGGGCAGUCCUGUAGCCUCUGAGUGGAUGAGGUUUGUUUCAGAGCCUCGGAGCUGUUUGUGUGUCAAAUUGACAUAAGACCAGCCAGCGUGACUUGCUCAGUUGUUAGCAUGAACUCCUCCUGUGCCUAUACGAAGCACCAACCCUCUCUGAGCACUCAGUUCUGAGCUCCAGCAUGGAAGGCCUGCCUCUCUCACAGCUGUACCACAUGUCCAGAACGUGACUGGUACCCAAGACAUGGGGAAGUCCUUGGCCCUGGCACCCAAGAAUAUGACCUUAUUUGGAAACAGGGUCUCUGCAGAUGGAAUUGAGGAAAGAUGAAGUCAUUGUGGAGCCUAAUCAAAUAUUCCUGCCGCAUCGAACCAGGACCAUUCCCCGUCUGCCAUGACCUUGUCUUUCCUUACUGUGUCUGCAAUGACCCUGUUUUCAGAGGUCAUACGGAGGUCCUAGGGAUUUGGAUUCCAACAUGUUUUCCCUUGGGAGAGCACUGUUCCCUUGGGAGAGCACUGUUCCCUUGGGAGAGCACUGUUCCCUUGGGAGAGCACUGUUCCCCAGCUGGGGGCGCUGCUUAAGAAGAAUGUGGAGCUUUUAAAAGUAGAACUUUGAAGGCUAAACUCAUCUCAGGGUUUGGCCUAGCCAGGUUCUCUGAUUCUUGUAAGGAACCUGUCACACACUUCUGCCACCAUGAAUUUAGCUAUGCCUUCAUUACUAUGAGAACUAAAUAAAACCCAGAGAAAUUACAAAUAAUAAUAAUUAAAAAAAACUCUUUCCUUUCUUA